rnacentral:rRNA from 1 species
UACGUAGGGGGCAAGCGUUGUCCGGAUUCAUUGGGCGUAAAGCGCGGGCAGGCGGCCCGUUAAGUCGGCCGUGAAAGCCCCGGGCUCAACCUGGGAACUGCCUUCGAUACUGGAGAGCUUGAGUCCGGGAGAGAUGAGUGGAACUGCGAGUGUAGAGGUGAAAUUCGUAGAUAUUCGCAAGAACACCAGUGGCGAAGGCGGCUCACUGGCCCGGUACUGACGCUGAGGUGCGAAAGCGUGGGGAGCAAACAGG